rnacentral:rRNA from 1 species
CCCAGGCGUCGAGUGGCGGACGGGUGAGUAAUGCUUAGGAAUCUGCCCAUUAGUGGGGGACAACUCGGGGAAACUCGAGCUAAUACCGCAUACGCCCUACGGGGGAAAGCGGAGGACCUUUCGGGGCUUCGCGCUAAUGGAUGAGCCCACGUUAGAUUAGCUUGUUGGUGGGGUAAAGGCCUACCAAGGCGACGAUCUAUAGCUGGUCUGAGAGGAUGAUCAGCCACACUGGGACUGAGACACGGCCCAGACUCC